CGUACCUUUUGUAUAAUGGGUCAGCGACUUAUAUUCUGUAGCAAGGUUAACCGAAUAGGGGAGCCGAAGGGAAACCGAGUCUUAACUGGGCGUUAAGUUGCAGGGUAUAGACCCGAAACCCGGUGAUCUAGCCAUGGGCAGGUUGAAGGUUGGGUAACACUAACUGGAGGACCGAACCGACUAAUGUUGAAAAAUUAGCGGAUGACUUGUGGCUGGGGGUGAAAGGCCAAUCAAACCGGGAGAUAGCUGGUUCUCCCCGAAAGCUAUUUAGGUAGCGCCUCGUGAAUUCAUCUCCGGGGGUAGAGCACUGUUUCGGCAAGGGGGUCAUCCCGACUUACCAACCCGAUGCAAACUGCGAAUACCGGAGAAUGUUAUCACGGGAGACACACGGCGGGUGCUAACGUCCGUCGUGAAGAGGGAAACAACCCAGACCGCCAGCUAAGGUCCCAAAGUCAUGGUUAAGUGGGAAACGAUGUGGGAAGGCCCAGACAGCCAGGAUGUUGGCUUAGAAGCAGCCAUCAUUUAAAGAAAGCGUAAUAGCUCACUGGUCGAGUCGGCCUGCGCGGAAGAUGUAACGGGGCUAAACCAUGCACCGAAGCUGCGGCAGCGACGCUUAUGCGUUGUUGGGUAGGGGAGCGUUCUGUAAGCCUGCGAAGGUGUACUGUGAGGUAUGCUGGAGGUAUCAGAAGUGCGAAUGCUGACAUAAGUAACGAUAAAGCGGGUGAAAAGCCCGCUCGCCGGAAGACCAAGGGUUCCUGUCCAACGUUAA
rnacentral:rRNA from 1 species